rnacentral:rRNA from 1 species
GUGGGGAAUAUUGGACAAUGGGCGAAAGCCUGAUCCAGCCAUGCCGCGUGUGUGAAGAAGGUCUUCGGAUUGUAAAGCACUUUAAGUUGGGAGGAAGGGCAGUAAGUUAAUACCUUGCUGUUUUGACGUUACCGACAGAAUAAGCACCGGCUAACUUCGUGCCAGCAGCCGCGGUAAUACGAAGGGUGCAAGCGUUAAUCGGAAUUACUGGGCGUAAAGCGCGCGUAGGUGGUUCAGCAAGUUGGAGGUGAAAUCCCCGGGCUCAACCUGGGAACUGCCUCCAAAACUGCAUGACUAGAGUACGGUAGAGGGUAGUGGAAUUUCCUGUGUAGCGGUGAAAUGUGUAGAUAUAGGAAGGAACACCAGUGGCGAAGGCGACUACCUGGACUGAUACUGACACUGAGGUGCGAAAGCGUGGGGAGCAAACAGGAUUAGAAACCCGGGUAGUCC